rnacentral:snRNA from 1 species
AUGUUAAACACUUAUCCCAA